rnacentral:rRNA from 1 species
AUUGAACGCUGGCGGCAUGCUUUACACAUGCAAGUCGAACGGUAGCAGGGUGCUUGCACCGCUGACGAGUGGCGAACGGGUGAGUAAUGCGUCGGAACGUGCCGAGUAGUGGGGGAUAACGCAGCGAAAGUUGUGCUAAUACCGCAUACGUACUGAGGUAGAAAGUGGGGGACCUUCGGGCCUCACGCUAUUCGAGCGGCCGACGUCUGAUUAGCUAGUAGGUGAGGUAAAGGCUAGCCUAGGCGACGAUCAGUAGCGGGUCUGAGAGGAUGGUCCGCCACACUGGGACUGAGACACGGCCCAGACUCCUACGGGAGGCAGCAGUGGGGAAUUUUGGACAAUGGGCGAAAGCCUGAUCCAGCCAUGCCGCGUGUCUGAAGAAGGCCUUCGGGUUGUAAAGGACUUUUGUCAGGGAGGAAAUCCCUAGCGUUAAUACCGCUGGGGGAUGACAGUACCUGAAGAAUAAGCACCGGCUAACUACGUGCCAGCCGCCGCCGUAAAAC